UACGGGGGGGGCAAGCGUUGUUCGGAAUUACUGGGCGUAAAGGGCUCGUAGGCGGCCAACUAAGUCAGACGUGAAAUCCCUAGGCUCAACCUAGGAACUGCGUCUGAUACUGGAUGGCUUGAAUCCGGGAGAGGGAUGCAGAAUUCCAGGUGUAGCGGUGAAAUGCGUAGAUAUCUGGAGGAAUACCGGUGGCGAAGGCGGCAUCCUGGACCGGCAUUGACGCUGAGGAGCGAAAGCUAGGGGAGCAAACGGG
rnacentral:rRNA from 1 species